rnacentral:tRNA from 1 species
GGGAGCUUAGUUAAGUGGUAUAACAGCGCUCUCCAAAAGCGCGGUCGGGGGUUCGAUUCCCUCAGCUCCCGCCA